UACGAAGGUCCCGAGCGUUGUUCGGAAUCACUGGGCGUAAAGGGAGCGUAGGCGGCAUGGUAAGUCAGAUGUGAAAUCCCGGGGCUCAACCCCGGAACUGCAUCCGAUACUGCCUUGCUUGAGGGUUGGAGAGGUAGCUGGAAUUAUCGGUGUAGCAGUGAAAUGCGUGGAUAUCGAUAGGAACACUCGUGGCGAAAGCGAGCUACUGGACAACAUCUGACGCUGAGGCUCGAAGGUUAGGGGAGCAAAAGGG
rnacentral:rRNA from 1 species